rnacentral:tRNA from 2 species
UGGGAGGUGGUGUAACGGUAACACGGCAGACUCUGGAUCUGUUUAUCGGGGUUCGAAUCCCUGCCUCCCAGCCA